GGGGUAGUAAAGGUUUCGACAGGGGCUUUGCAGCUGGAGAAGCUAUCCGUUGUGACACGUUAAUCACACAAUUAAACUAAACGCUGAAGAUAAUUUAGCAUUCGCAGCGUAAGCUGUGAAGAAGCGCCGUCCCAGAUGACGGCUGUCCGCUCUUUAGCACUCACACUUUAGAAUCCGGGCAUCAUCCAUGUGAGAAACGACUUGCGUUAAGCUUUGCGCGCAUGGGCGUAACAUGAAGCUACCGAAUGCAGAAGGCUGUUCGUUUCCUUGUGCAGGAGGGAACAGGCAGAAGAGAGUUCUGCCGGGAUAACGGACUAUGAUAGUAGAAGGACAGGGAAUGGGCUUUUGGACACGGGUUCGACUCCCGUCUACUCCACUU
rnacentral:tmRNA from 1 species